GACGGGUGAGUAACGCGUGGGUAACCUGCCUUAUACAGGGGAUAACAGUUAGAAAUGACUGCUAAUACCGCAUAAGCGCACAGGAUUGCAUGAUCCGGUGUGAAAAACUACCGGUGGUAUAAGAUGGACCCGCGUCUGAUUAGCUUGUUGGUGAGGUAACGGCCCACCAAGGCGACGAUCAGUAGCCGACCUGAGAGGGCGACCGGCCACAUUGGGACUGAGACACGGCCCAAACUCCUACGGGAGGCAGCAUG
rnacentral:rRNA from 1 species